UACAGAGGGGGCAAGCGUUGUUCGGAAUUACUGGGCGUAAAGGGCGCGUAGGCGGCCUUCUAAGUCGAACGUGAAAUCCCCGGGCUCAACCCGGGAACUGCGUCCGAGACUGGAAGGCUUGAAUCCGGGAGAGGGAUGUGGAAUUCCGAGUGUAGAGGUGAAAUUCGUAGAUAUUCGGAAGAACACCAGUGGCGAAGGCGACUCACUGGACAUGUAUUGACGCUGAGGUGCGAAAGCGUGGGGAGCAAACAGG
rnacentral:rRNA from 1 species